CCUACGGGAGGCAGCAGUGGGGAAUUUUGGACAAUGGGCGCAAGCCUGAUCCAGCAAUGCCGCGUGCAGGAUGAAGGCCUUCGGGUUGUAAACUGCUUUUGUACGGAACGAAAAGGCUCUGGCUAAUACCUGGGGCUGAUGACGGUACCGUAAGAAUAAGCACCGGCUAACUACGUGCCAGCAGCCGCGGUAAUACGUAGGGUGCGAGCGUUAAUCGGAAUUACUGGGCGUAAAGCGUGCGCAGGCGGUUUUGUAAGACAGGGGUGAAAUCCCCGGGCUUAACCUGGGAACUGCACUUGUGACUGCAAGGCUGGAGUACGGCAGUGGGGGAUGGAAUUCCGCGUGUAGCAGUGAAAUGCGUAGAUAUGCGGAGGAACACCGAUGGCGAAGGCAGUCCCCUGGGCCUGUACUGACG
rnacentral:rRNA from 1 species